UCAAGCAAAAAAGAGCGCAGGGUGGAUGCCUUGGCACUAAGAGCCGAUGAAAGACGUGAUAAGCUGCGAAAAGCUACGGGGAGGAGCAAAUAUCCUUUGAUCCGUAGAUGUCUGAAUGGGGAAACCCACAUGAGCAUACCUCAUGUAUCCAUACGCCAAUCCAUAACGUAUGGAGGGGAACCCGGUGAACUGAAACAUCUAAGUAGCCGGAGGAAGAGAAAGAAACAUCGAUUUCCAAAGUAGCGGCGAGCGAAAUGGAAAGAGGCCAAACCGGAAUGCGUGCAUUCCGGGGUUCGGACCGCAUAAUUGAUUUGUCAAUCCUAGCAGAAAGGUUUUGGGAAAGCCUGCCAGAGAGGGUGAAAGCCCCGUAAGCGAAAGGAAAGAUGACAUGGCGGUAUCCAGAGUACAUCGAGACACGAGAAACCUUGAUGGAAUGAGCGGGGACCACCCCGUAAGCCUAAAUACUCCUUAGUGACCGAUAGCGCAUAGUACUGUGAAGGAAAGGUGAAAAGGACCCCGGGAGGGGAGUGAAAGAGAACCUGAAACCCUGUGUUUACAAGCUGUGGAAGUGCUUUAUAUGCACAACCGCGUACUUUUUGUAGAACGGUCCGGCGAGUUACGGGUACCGGCAAGGUUAAGCACUUAAGGUGUGGAGCCGAAGGGAAACCAAGUCUGAAUAGGGCGUCAAGUCAGUAUCCGUAGACCCGAAACCGGGUGAUCUACCCAUGUCCAGGUUGAAGUUGCCGUAAAAGGCAAUGGAGGACCGAACGCACAUCCGUUGAAAAGGGUGGCGAUGAGGUGUGGGUAGGGGAGAAAUUCCAAUCGAACCCGGAGAUAGCUGGUUCUCCUCGAAAUAGCUUUAGGGCUAGCCUCAUUUUAGUCUUAUGGAGGUAGAGCACUGAAUUUCCGCGGGGGCGUCAAAGCUUACCAAAGAAUAUCAAACUCCGAAUGCCAUGUAGAUGAUGAAUGGGAGUCAGACUGCACGAGAUAAGUUGGGCAGUCAAAAGGGAAAGAGCCCAGACCACCAGCUAAGGUCCCAAAGUGUGUGUUAAGUGGAAAAGGAUGUGGGAUUUCAAAGACAACUAGGAUGUUGGCUCAGAAGCAGCCACACAUUCAAAGAGUGCGUAACAGCUCACUAGUCGAGAGGUCCUGCGCCGAAAAUGUCCGGGGCUAAAACACAACACCGAAGCUGUGGAAUCACGUAAGUGAUUGGUAGAGGAGCAUUCUUAAGACCGACGAAGCUGUACCGGAAGGAGCAGUGGAGGGAUAAGAAGAGAGAAUGCCGGAAUGAGUAGCGAGAGAGAGGUGAGAAUCCUCUCGGCCGAAUAUCCAAGGUUUCCAGAGUAAAGCUGAUCUGCUCUGGGUAAGUCGGGGCCUAAGGAGAGGUCGAAAGACGUAUCCGAUGGACAACAGGUUUAGAUUCCUGUACCACAUAUGAACAGAACUGUGGGGACGCAUGUGGAGAGCACGAGCCGGGAAUGGAAAUACCGGUACAAGCGGAGAAGGAGUCUGGUUGGNAGUAGCGAAGCGUGUGAGCCAUGUGCCGAGAAAAGCCGCUAUUGUUUCAUGUGUGCCCGUACCGUAAACCGACACAGGUGGAUGAGGAGAGAAUCCUAAGGCCGGCGGAAGAAGCAUUGUUAAGGAACUCGGCAAAAUGACCCCGUAACUUCGGGAGAAGGGGUGCCUGCUAACGCAGGCCGCAGAGAAUAGGCUCAAGCAACUGUUUAGCAAAAACACAGGUCUAUGCGAAACCGAAAGGUGAAGUAUAUGGGCUGACGCCUGCCCGGUGCUGGAAGGUUAAGAGGAGAGGUUAGCGCAAGCGAAGCUUUGAAUUUAAGCCCCAGUAAACGGCGGCCGUAACUAUAACGGUCCUAAGGUAGCGAAAUUCCUUGUCGGGUAAGUUCCGACCCGCACGAAAGGCGUAAUGAUUUGAGCACUGUCUCGACAAUGCAUCCGGUGAAAUUGAAGUACCAGUGAAGAUGCUGGUUACCCGCGCCAGGACGGAAAGACCCCAUGGAGCUUUACUCCAGUUUGGUACUGGGAUUCGGUACUGCAUGUACAGGAUAGGUGGGAGACUAAGAACUUGGGACGCCAGUUUCAAGGGAGUCGCUGUUGGGAUACCACCCUUGCAGUAUUGGAUUUCUAACCAGCCGCCGUGAUCCGGCGGUGGGACAAUGCCAGGCGGGGAGUUUGACUGGGGCGGUCGCCUCCGAAAGGGUAUCGGAGGCGCUCAAAGGUUCCCUCAGAAUGGUUGGAAACCAUUUGAAGAGUGCAAAGGCAGAAGGGAGCUUGACUGCGACACCGACGGGUGGAGCAGGUAGGAAACUAGGACUUAGUGAUCCGGUGGCAUAAAGUGGGAUUGCCAUCGCUCAACGGAUAAAAGCUACCCUGGGGAUAACAGGCUUAUCACUCCCAAGAGUUCACAUCGACGGAGUGGUUUGGCACCUCGAUGUCGGCUCAUCGCAUCCUGGGGCUGUAGCAGGUCCCAAGGGUUGGGCUGUUCGCCCAUUAAAGCGGUACGCGAGCUGGGUUCAGAACGUCGUGAGACAGUUCGGUCCCUAUCCGGCGCGGGCGGAGGAUAUUUGAGAGGAGCUGUCCUUAGUACGAGAGGACCGGGAUGGACGGACCACUGGUGUAUCUGCUGUCGACCAACGGCAUGGCAGAGUAGCCAAGUCCGGAAGGGAUAAACGCUGAAGGCAUCUAAGCGUGAAGCCCCCCUCAAGAUGAGAUAUCCCUCACAUAAGUGAGUAAGAUCCCUUGAAGACUACAAGGUAGAUAGGGCAGAGGUGGAAGCACGGUAACGUGUGGAGCUGACUGUUACUAAUCGAUCGAGGGCUUGACCAA
rnacentral:rRNA from 1 species